GCUACUGGACCUAGCGGCGGACGGGUGAGUAAUACUUAGGAAUCUGCCUAUUAGUGGGGGACAACGUUCCGAAAGGAGCGCUAAUACCGCAUACGCCCUACGGGGGAAAGCAGGGGAUCUUCGGACCUUGCGCUAAUAGAUGAGCCUAAGUCGGAUUAGCUAGUUGGUGGGGUAAAGGCCUACCAAGGCGACGAUCUGUAGCGGGUUUGAGAGGAUGAUCCGCCACACUGGGACUGAGACACGGCCCAGACUCCUACGGGAGGCAGCAGUGGGGAAUAUUGGACAAUGGGCGCAAGCCUGAUCCAGCCAUGCCGCGUGUGUGAAGAAGGCCUUAUGGUUGUAAAGCACUUUAAGCGAGGAGGAGGCUUACCUAGCUAAUACCUAGGAUAAGUGGACGUUACUCGCAGAAUAAGCACCGGCUAACUCUGUGCCAGCAGCCGCGGUAAUACAGAGGGUGCAAGCGUUAAUCGGAAUUACUGGGCGUAAAGCGCGCGUAGGUGGCCAUUUAAGUCAAAUGUGAAAU
rnacentral:rRNA from 1 species